GAUGAACGCUGGCGGCGUGCCUAAUACAUGCAAGUCGAACGCACCACUUCGGUGGUGAGUGGCGAACGGGUGAGUAACACGUAGAUAACCUGCCCUUAAGACGAGGAUAACCGUUGGAAACGAUGGCUAAAACUGGAUAGGAAUAUUGAAGGCAUCUUUAAUAUUUUAAAAGACCUAGUAAUAGGUAUACUUAAGGAGGGGUCUGCGGCGCAUUAGUUAGUUGGUGAGGUGAUGGCUUACCAAGACGAUGAUGCGUAGCCGGACUGAGAGGUUGAACGGCCACAUUGGGACUGAGAAACGGCCCAAACUCCUACGGGAGGCAGCAGUAGGGAAUUUUCGGCAAUGGGGGAAACCCUGACCGAGCAACGCCGCGUGAAUGACGAAGUACUUCGGUAUGUAAAGUUCUUUUAUCAGGGAAGAAUGACUUAUGGAAAAAUAAGUGUGACGGUACCUGAUGAAUAAGCCCCGGCUAACUAUGUGCCAGCAGCCGCGGU
rnacentral:rRNA from 1 species